UACGUAGGGGGCAAGCGUUGUCCGGAUUCAUUGGGCGUAAAGAGCGUGUAGGCGGCCAGGUAGGUCGGUUGUGAAAACUGGAGGCUCAACCUUCAGAGGUCGACCGAAACCAUCUGGCUAGAGUCCGGGAGAGGAGAGUGGAAUUCCUGGUGUAGCGGUGAAAUGCGCAGAUAUCAGGAAGAACACCCGUGGCGAAAGCGGCUCUCUGGGAACGGUACUGACGCUGAGACGCGAAAGCGUGGGGAGCGAACAGG
rnacentral:rRNA from 1 species